rnacentral:lncRNA from 10 species
GGCGGACAGACUUAGACCACACAAACUCAGUUCAGUGUGAUGUCAUGACAGGUUGUGAUGGGGACAUGAAGAAUCUGCAUGUGCCCCUGUACAGUACAUUGGUAAACAUGUCCCUGAAAACGUGACACUUAAGGUGAGCUUUGUAGAAUAAAUAGGAAAUAGCGAGGCAGAGACAGCAAAGUAAGGCAUUGCAGGAGCAGAAAAAUAAAUGCAAAAGACAAAGACUGGAAAACAAAAAAAGGUUGGGAAUUAAUUGCAGCUAAGACAACAUGACCAUAACACACUACUCAAGGAAGAGAAUGAUCAAGAAUAAAGCUGCAGUCAGGCAGUAAAAUACAGCUGUCAGAUUACCCACUUAAGUGAUAAACACUGCAUGACUCCUACACCACUUAAAAUGAGUUUUAACACACGCUCUGCAGCAAAAAUUCUUGAGACUUACAAUCACUGGCCAAUUAGUAUUUAUCAAGGACAGUGAAUGUAAAUAGAAACACAGCCAAAUACCUUUUCACUGUGUACAAAAUAGACGGUGACAACAUGCAACUACUAAUUUCCAGGACGCGCUGAAACAGAUCCAAUGUUAAGAUAAAAAUAAACUAAAAUGAUUUUCCUCUGGUUUGAUUUAGGUAGAUAAUCAAGGCCAUAACAUGCCGAUGUGGAAAAAUGUCCCAACCAUCCCCAGGAAUGAAGAAAACUAAUAGGCAACAAAAUUGUUAAAAAAAAAAAAAAAAAAACCAGCUCUUCUUAGGACAUUCUUUGCUUUCUUUUGGUCUUCCUCUUUCUAUUUAAGCCCUGUAUUGUUGCCCAAUACACCCUAUUUAGGUCUCAUUUUCUUAUCUAUGUCCCACAUACUGAGCCUUUCAGUUUCCUUUUUCUCUUUACUUUAAAAAGCUAUGUCCAAGUGUCAUGCUCUUGAUUGAAGGCAGAAAGACAACAUAAUAAAAGUAACCACUGCUAUUGGGCAACCUCUUCAUUGUGCUGCUCUUCACGGUAAAACAGGCAUCUUAUUGACUCCAGGAGACACUCCAAAAGAUUGCAUCAACCCAAAGGAGAUUUAGGCCUUAGGACAGGACCAAGUGGGAGAGCAAUUUUUGUGGAAGGUGGCCUUGUGAUAUCCCUCAUAUACAACUUUCUUGCUCUCAGCCAAGCCAGCAGGCAAGCCAUAAAGCCAUAGGUGGUAACCAGUCUAGGUUAAGAUAAACUCUCACAGCUUCAAAGAGGAGGAGAGAGAGAAGAGAAGAAAAGCAGUGACUUUAAUUAGGAUAAUUUGUUCUCCAAAGUAUAAACUCUUAUCAGGGCAUAUCACAGCUCUCCUACAUACCACUGCUGGAUUUUUGUUAGCAUAAGAUGAAACAACAAGGGCUUAUGAAUUAUUCUGAGCCAGUGACACAGAAAAUAAGCAGAAAUAGAUGCUGCGGUGUAUUAAAUUGUUAUUUGGGAUAGAGCUGGACAAAGAGGAAUAUGACUUACAAUUAGUGACUACAAAUAUUUUAAAACAUUAAAAGAAAUAGAAUUUUACCCAAAGACGUUUGUUUUCGCUGGGAAGCCUGCCUUUUGCUAAUCAUAUUUACAAAUGUAUAGUGCUAAUCUAAUAUAUGGAUAUCUUGCUUUACAACUCAUGUACUGACAAUUUUAUUGCAUUUACCCAAAUUUCCUUCAAUGCUACAUUUGUAACUCUCUAAAUACUUCAUAUAUAGUGCUAAAGAUCUUGAUAUAACUUUAUGCUCACAAAUACACAAUUUAAAAGUUUAUGUUAUACUAUGGAAUACUGAAACUCCUUGUCACUUAUUUUAUUAACUUAAUAAUGUAAUAAAAACCACAUAUCAUUUAACUGCUUAUAAUGAGCAUAUUUGAAGCUGCAAAGUGAUAUUGCAAAUGGAGAAAAAUAAGCAGCUAAAAAUUCCAGUGCAUAUACUGUCACGUGCCAAAUAACAAUGUUUCUGUCAGCUAUGGACCACAUACACAAUCAUGUUCCCAUAUGUUUAUAAUGGGGCUGAAAAAUUCCCAUUCCUUAGUGACUGAUAGCCAUUGUAAUGUCAUAGCACAAUGCAUAACUGAAAUGCUCGUGGAGAUGUUCGUGCAGGCAAACCUACUGUGCUGCCAGUCAUAUAAAAAGCAUAGUACAUACAAUUACCUACGGUAUAUAAAACUCGAUAGUGAUAAUAAAGUACUAUUUUAUUGGUUUAUGUAUUUACUAUAUUAUGCCUUUUAUUGUUAUUUUAGAGGGUACUAGUUUUACUUAUAAAAAUAAGUUAACCGUAAAACAGCCUCAGGCAGUUUCAUCAGAAGGUAUUCCAGAAGAAGGCAUUGUAUUCAUAGGCGAGGACUGUUCCAUGCUUGUUAUUGUCCCUAAAGAUCUUCCAGUGAGAAAUGUGGCAGUGGAAGACAGUGAAACUGAAGAUCCUGACCUUGUGUAGGUCCAUGCUAAGGACUCAGAAUCCAAGAUGACCUUGACUUUCUGGAACAACAGGCUAACUAAAGGGACUUCACGGCCCCUUGAAGAAGAUCACGGACCCAGUUGUUUAAUGGCUGAACAAAGCACAGAAUGCAUAGACAACUUCCACUGAAGCAAUAAUAAAGCUUAUAUGUAUAACUUUCAGACCAAUUAAGUGUUGCUUAUUUUGGUUACAUCGUCGUUGCUAUCAUAACGAGUUUACUUUUUACCACUGUACAUAAUAGGGUACCUGAAAUGAUCACUCUUAAAGAAAAAAUAUGUAUAGCAAUUUUAGGAAAAGCAACAGACCACUUCUACACUCUGAACCAAGAUAAAAAAAAAUUAUAUCAAGUGCUUCUAUGCUUACCCAUAUGUAACAGGAAAGUUUGACGUUUGUACAAAGACAGUUCUAGUAAGUGGUAGAGAUGUAUGAAAUCAAAUCAAUUCAUUAAAUAGGCAUUUAGUGAAAUUACCAUAGGAGAACUGAUCCUAAAACAUCACUAUUGAUAUGUUAUAAAUGAAGUUCAAAUGAAAGAAAAAAAAAUCUGUCCUAUUUAAAACUCAGCACUGUUUCCAUAGGUUCCAAAUCAAGAUGCCUUCAACCAGUCAU